rnacentral:rRNA from 1 species
UGAAUACGAGAUGCUACGGCGUCGAAGCAGUCUAUGUCAUACUUCCAAGAAAAGCUUGCACUGUCAUAAACAAAUAAUGCCUGUGCCAUAACCGACACAGGUGGGUAGGUAGAGUAUACUAAGGGGCGCGAGAUAACUCUCUCUAAGGAACUCGGCAAAAUGACUCCGUAACUUCGGGAGAAGGAGUGCCUUAUUUAUAAGGUUGCAAUAACAAGAUCCAAGCAACUGUUUACCAAAAACACAGGUCUCCGCUAAGUCGUAAGACGAUGUAUGGGGGCUGACGCCUGCCCAGUGCCAGAAGGUUAAAGAAGUUGGUUAGCAUUUGCGAAGCUGAUAACUGAAGCCCUGGUGAACGGCGGCCGUAACUAUAACGGUCCUAAGGUAGCGAAAUUCCUUGUCGGGUAAGUUCCGACCCGCACGAAAGGCGUAAUGAUUUGGAUACUGUCUCGGAGAGGGGCUCGGUGAAAUAGACUUGUCUGUGAGGAUGCGGACUACCUGCACCUGGACAGAAAGACCCUAUGAAGCUUUACUGUAACUUGAAAUUGAAAUUGGACUUUAUUUGCGCAGCAUAGGUGGGAGGCGUUGAUAGUAAUCUUGCGGGAUUAUUGGAGCCAUCAGUGAGAUACCACUCUUGUAAUGUUAGAUUUCUAACUUUGUAUCAUUAUCUGGUCAAAGAACAGUUUCAGGCGGGCAGUUUGACUGGGGCGGUCGCCUCCCAAACGGUAACGGAGGCGCACAAAGGUUUCCUCUGAACGGGUAGAAAUCGUAUCUAGAGUGUAAAGGCAUAAGGAAGCUUGACUGUGAGACCUACAAGUCGAGCAGGGACGAAAGUCGGUCUUAGUGAUCUGACGGUGCUGAGUGGAAAGGCCGUCACUCAACGGAUAAAAGUUACUCUAAGGAUAACAGGCUGAUCUCCCCCAAGAGUUCACAUCGACGGGGAGGUUUGGCACCUCGAUGUCGGCUCAUCGCAUCCUGGGGCGGUAGUACGUCCCAAGGGUUGGGCUGUUCGCCCAUGAAAGCGGUACGCGAGCUGGGUUCAGAACGUCGUGAGACAGUUCGGUCCAUAUCCGGUGUAGGCGUUAGAAUAUUGAGAGGAGCCUUCUCUAGUACGAGAGGACCGAGAAGGACAUACCUCUGGUGUACCAGUUAUCGUGCCAACGGUAAACGCUGGGUAGCUAUGUAUGGAGUGGAUAACCGCUGAAAGCAUCUAAGUGGGAAGCCCACCUUAAGAUAAGUAUUCUCAUCAC